UACGAAGGGGGCUAGCGUUGUUCGGAAUUACUGGGCGUAAAGCGCGCGCAGGCGGUCUUCCAAGUCAGUGGUGAAAUCUCCGGGCUCAACCCGGAAACUGCCAUUGAUACUAUCUGUCUUGAAUAUCGUGGAGGUAAGCGGAAUAUGUCAUGUAGCGGUGAAAUGCUUAGAUAUGACAUAGAACACCAAUUGCGAAGGCAGCUUACUACCCGAAUAUUGACACUGGAGG
rnacentral:rRNA from 1 species